AUAAAUGCUAUCGGUAUGCGUAACACAUGCAAGUUAAAUGUUUUAUAACAUAGCGAACGGGUGAGUAACACGUGAAUUAUCUACCUUUUAAUUCAGGAUAAUUAUUUUUAUAAAAAUACUGAAUAAAUUAACUAAAGUUUUUUAACGUUAAAAGAUGAGUUUGCGCAAGAUUAAAGGUAGUUGGUAGUUUAACAGACUACCAAGCCUACUAUCUUUAGCUGGUUUGAAAGAACGAUCAGCCACAUUGGGACUGAGACACGGCCCAAACUUUUUUAAAGGCAGCAGUGAGGAAUUUUGGACAAUGAGCGAAAGCUUGAUCUAGCAAUACCGAGUGAGUGAAGAAGGCUAAUUAGGUUGUAAAGCUCUUUCAUUAAGGAGGAAAAUGACAUUACUUAAAAAAGAAGUUCUGGCUAAUACCCGUGCCAGCAGCCGCCGUA
rnacentral:rRNA from 1 species